AUGCAUCACACAGCCGUCCUCCUCCUCCUGACCAUCAUAAACGCCACUUCGUUCUUCACGGGUGAUGCGCCACAACCCCCAAGCUUCCACGGUGGCAGUUGCAUCGCCGCCGAGAGGACUGCCUUGCUCUCUUUCAAAGAGGGCAUCACAAGCGACCCCGCCGGCCUCCUCGCCUCGUGGCGCGGCCAGGACUGCUGCCGGUGGAGAGGCGUCAACUGCAGCAACCAGACCGGUCAUAUCAUCGGGCUUCGCCUCCGCACUCCAAGCCCGAACGUGUUCAAGGAUCCAUGUGACGGUAACAGUCUGCUCGGUGAAGUAAGCCACUCUUUGCUUUCCUUGGAGCAUCUAGAGCACCUGGACCUCAGCAUGAACUGCUUGUUUGGGCCAAACGGCAGCUUUCCAGAGUUCCUGGGCCAGAUGAGGAACCUGAGAUACCUCAACCUCACCGGCUUAACGAUGUUUACCGGUAGGGUGCCUCCACAGCUUGGUAACCUGUCCAAGAUGCAGUAUCUGUCCAUCGGCCAGGCUGGUAGUCGCUCUCAGAUGUACUCUGAUGACAUCACCUGGUUAACAAACCUUCGUUUGCUACAGCACGUUAGCAUCGGAGGGAUAAAUCUCUCGGGGAUACAUGACUGGCCUCAUAUGCUGAACAUGAUCCCGUCUCUAAGGGUUAUCAGUCUUAGUGGUUGUUCGCUUCAGAGCACAAAUCAAUCGCUUCCGUACCUCAAUCUCACAAGACUUGAAAAGCUUGAUCUUUCCUGGAACACUUUUGACCACUCAAUUGCAACUAGUUGGUUUUGGAAAGCCACAAGCCUCAAGUACCUCAAUCUUCAGGCCAACAGAUUAUCCGGCCAAUUUCCCGACGCACUAGGAAACAUGACAUCCCUUCAAGUCCUUGACGUGUCAACAAAUUGGAACAAGUACUUGAUGAUGACAGGAAACCUGAAGAAUCUUUGCAGUCUGAACAUUCUAGACUUCAGCAAUAAUGAAAUAAAUGGAGAUAUAGCAGUCAUGAUGGGGGGUUUGCCAGAAUGCGCAUGGGAAUCUUUGCAAGAGCUAGAUUUCAGCUACAACAGUUUCACGGGAACAUUGCCAAAUUUGAUAGGUACAUUCAGCAGCUUGAGGAGACUUGAACUCUCCAAUAACAACCUCACGGGGAGUGUACCACCAGGCAUUGGGAAUUUGACAUUUUUAACUGCCCUUGACCUUUCGAACAACCGCUUCAGUGGAAGUGUACCCUCUGAAAUUGGUUCCCUGAUCAAUCUAUCUUCUUUGGAUCUAAGCAACAACAACUUCAGUGGUAUUGUGCCUUCUGAAAUUGGUGCCCUUAGUGAUCUGACUUCUUUGGUCCUAAGCAAGAACAACUUUAGUGGUGUGAUCACGGAAACACAUUUUGCAGGUCUAAAAGGUUUAAAGAACAUAGACCUGUCUUCCAAUAGUUUGAAGAUUGAAGUAGAUUCCGAUUGGCUUCCUCCCUUCAGGCUGGAGUCUGCGCUGUUUUCAUCUUGCCGAAUGGGUCCUCUGUUUCCUGCCUGGCUUCAGUGGCAACAAGAAAUUACUAAACUUGACAUUUCCAGCACAGCUCUAGUGGACAAGAUUCCUGAUUGGUUUUGGUCUACAUUUUCACGAGUCACAUACCUCGACAUGUCUGACAACCAAAUUAGUGGAAACUUGCCAGCACAUCUAGAUGACAUGGCGUUUGAAGAACUCUACCUCAGUUCAAACCGGCUUACAGGGCCAAUACCACCGUUCCCAGGAAAUAUCACCGUGUUCGACAUCUCCAACAAUUCCUUUUCAGGAACACUGCCAUCAAAUCUUGAAGCUGUGGAACUGCAAACAUUGCUCAUGUAUUCAAAUCAAAUUGGUGGUAGCAUUCCAGAAUCUAUGUGUAAACUACAAAUGCUGGGAGAUCUAGAUUUAUCAAGCAAUCUUUUGGAGGGUGGAAUUCCUCAGUGCUUUGAGAACAUAUCCAUAUCAUACCUACUAUUAAGCAACAAUAGUUUAUCAGAUACAUUCCCAACAUUUCUGCACAAUGGAAAGAGUCUCGAGUUUCUUGAUCUUGCAUGGAAUAAGUUCUAUGGAAGGAUACCAACAUGGAUAGGAGAGCUCAGAAGAUUACGGUUUGUGCGACUAAGUCACAACACGUUUUCUGGGACUAUUCCAGUUGAAAUAACGGCUCUCAGUUAUCUUCAAUAUUUGGAUCUAUCAGGAAAUAACAUAUCCGGUGUUAUACCUUUGCAUCUGUCAAACCUAACAGGUAUGACCCGGAAGGGCUUCAUGCCUAUAUCUGGUACAGAUAUUGGUCCAUCUGAUUUGGGUUCAGUAACUGUAACAGGUCAAUUUGGAGCGCUCUUGUCAAUAAUCACAAAAGGGCAAGAGCUUAGAUAUGGUGGCACCCUGGCAUAUUUUGUGAGCAUUGAUUUAUCAGGCAACUCCUUGAGUGGUGAAAUUCCCAUGGAUAUCACUUCCCUUGAUGCAUUGAUAAAUCUCAAUCUGUCAUCAAACCACCUGAGUGGAAACAUUCCUAGCAAGAUUGGCGACCUACGGUCAUUAGAGUCUCUUGACCUCUCUCAGAACAAGCUUUCCGGUGAAAUCCCAUCAAGCUUGUCAAGUUUGACAUCUCUUAGCUAUUUGAACAUGUCUUAUAAUAGUUUGUCUGGAAGGGUACCAUCAGGCCACCAACUUGACACCCUUAGUGCCGACAACCCAGCACUUAUGUACAUUGGAAACAACGGACUUUGUGGGCCUCCUCUUCAGAAGAAUUGUUCAGGAAAUGGUACGGUUUUUCAUGGUCAUCUUGGAAGCAGCAAUCGGGAAUUUGAGCCACUGACCUUCUAUUUUGGUCUUGUGCUGGGACUUGUAGCGGGGCUCUGGAGUGUGUUUUGCACGUUCCUGUUCAAGAAGACAUGGAGGAUUGCUUAUUUUCAACUCUUUGAUGAGCUGUUUGACAGAAUCUAUGUAUAUGUGGUUGUGAAGUGGGCAAGCUUCACAAGGAAGACAGAUGAAGAAUAA
rnacentral:rRNA from 1 species